CACAAGAGGUGGAUCUCUUUCUGGAGAUCCCUUCUUCUGGAGAUUUUAGUGAGUGUUGAUCCUUGAGAUGGGCCAUUCCAGCACCCGCUUUAUCUCCAGUGAUCUCUGACCCCUGCGUGUCAGGAGUUCAAUCUGCUUCAUCUUGUUCUCACCUUCUGGGCUACCCCCUGCUUUAAGGCCCUUCUCAGGGUCACAGAGUUCCUGGAGGAAAGCAGGUGCACAGCAUAAAGCCCUUUGAAACCAAAUUCCCUGCUGCCCAAGGGGUGUCCUGACCUGCUGUUUGCCUCUAGGAUCAUCUCCAGCUGAGCAUCUCAUGGUGGGCCACCAUGAAUUAGACUUGUGCUUGCUCACUGCACAAGGCUUUUGUGCUUUCACCUGUCCAAGCAUGAACUGAUCCAUGUCCCCAGUGUGACAUGAGCAGUGCAUCUGCCUGCUUGCUGUCAGCCAUGUGGCCAGCUCAGCUCUGGUGGUGACAACAGCAAAGAGGGCAUGGUGUAAUUUUCAGAUCCGUUGGGGAGUUUUCAGCAGUGAUGGCUGGAAAAAAACAGCAAUUUCUCUGUGAAAAAGGGCACAUUCAUUCUGGUUCCAAUGAGAAAGAAAUAAAUAGAAAGCCUGGUAGUGACUGUCCUUAAUUGAUUAGUCAUUUCUGCAGAUGAUAAUUGCACAUCAAAAGACAGGGAUCCUACUGUUUCAUGCAAAUGUCCCCAGGAAUAACAGCAAGGCACAGGGGAAGUGGGUAGAGGAAAUAAAUCCUUUAAGACGCUGCCCAGGAGAAUUCAGAGCUUGAGAUCCAUUUUGGAAAAACAAUGUUGCUCUGAACAUGUCUGGAAGAAAUAUCCUCAACCUCCUGAGUGCCAGAAACAUGGAGAAAGAGGGGAGCCGGGAGUGUGCCCCAGCCAUGCCAGAGCAUCACCUCUUCAGACACUGGUGGGGAACUUGAAGAGCUGGCUGAGGAUCCAGAAUUGGAGUUAUUUUUUGUGGGUUCUGCAGCGAACCCCAGUUUUGGGUCCUUCCCACACACUGCAGUUUCCUGGGCUCUCUGACUUGUGCCUGUUGUGUCCAGUCCCAUUCUGCUCCCCAUGCUACCGCAUCUGGGCCGCAAGCUAAACACCAACCCCGGGGCUCAUCUGAGAACCUCCGUUCUCAUUUAAUUAUUUCAGAGAAGCUGCUAGCCCUGGUGUCUGGCAAAAGAGGCUUGUGAGCAUGACUCAGUCAGCCUCCAAAAGCAGCAGUGAAAAAACAAGAAUCUGCUGUGAGCUGCAUCUUGAUUUUUUUUAAGCCAGCCUCGUGAUGCUUUGCAGGGCCAAAGCACGAGUCUGUAAUAUCAGAACAGUGCCAUAAACUGCAGGCGUUUUGGGGUGCUAAUAAGAAAAAUGGUCCUUUUUCGCAAGCACGCAGCCAUCACUGGGGUCAUGGAGACCCUCUUGUAGGGUGUGAGCCCCUCUGCAUCAUAGCUGUGCUGUGGGAGAAGCUUUUGCAGGUGUCAUUUCUUGCUUCCAAGGUUCCCAGCUGCCCUCCUCACUGCCCCCAGUAAAUCCCCAAACUGUGAUCCUUCUAGGCCCCAUGUCCCUGACAUCAUUGAGCACUGGCAUGCAAGGAAGAGCUGGGGACACCACUGGACUGUGAUCUUGCAUCUGCUCAGACCCGCCAGCACUGGAUUCUUCAGAGCAGUGGUCAGGGAUUUGCAGGGCAAUAAGCUGCCUUCAGCCCUACCUAAAGGAUGACUGUGGAAGACGUAUGAGGCACUGGUGGUCAUGGAGAAGCCAUUUAGCAAAUUCCUCCAGCCAAGAUUCCCACUCUGUGGUCCCUACAGCCUCUGGUGGAAAUGAGAUCUGACCUUCCACCUCCUCCUAUGCAGCUCUGCAUGCCUGGAUUCCUCCAUGCUCAUCACCUUCAGCGUGGGUUAAUGAACAGCUGGCAUUUAAAUAUUCCUUCAUCACUCCAUCCACGUCACCGAUGAAGUCACAGACAGCAUGUUGGAUCCGCAGGUUUGCCUUCAGAUCCUUUACCUUCAGCUGUCUUCAGCACAGAGCUGCUGCAAGCUCCUUCCCCUUUGUAGUCAGCAAAGAGAAAUAGGCGCUUUCAGGGCAUGAGUCAUCUGACCUAUUUAGCCAUCUUAGGAAGAGAUGAAUGAGUCCUUAAGAGGGCCCGUUUCUUACUGCUGUCUAGACAGCCAAGCUCUCAGCUGCAGACGCCUACCCUUGCUCUUCGGGCUGGGAAGGACUGCUGGCUAACGGUGGGCUCCCCGCUCCAGCAAAGCAUUGGCUCACACCUGAGUAUUCAGGAAAGAUGUGCACUCAGCUUUGCUCCCUCUGAAGGGAGGAUUUCAACACCAAAAGGGUGGAAACCCACUUCUGCUGUACCUCCAAGGGAGGGUUUCAUGGAGCUGGGCUUCUUCUGCUGUGACAAUACAGCAGAGGUUAUUUCAGGUCUGAAUGUCAAUGGGUGGUGUUAGCCAAGAGGAGGUGUUUUAUUAUUCUCAGUGAAACCAGCAAAAGUGGCCCAGUCACCCUGGUGACACCACUCCGUGACUGCGACCCAGUGCCAACACCAGCUGGUCUGGGAUAGACUUGAGCCUGCGGAGCACUUGGUCUUCACAAGGAUGCAAAUAGCAAAGACCAUGCAGUUUAAAGGGUCAACCUGUUCUAAGAAGAAAGCCCAACCACUGGGACUCUUUGUGAUUCCUGGGGCUAUUAUGAAUUUCUCUGUGCAAGAGAACGAAAGUGUCCAAGUGAGUGGUGACCAUCUCAUUCAGAUGGCCUGUGGGCCACUUGCUCAUGGCUCUCUGUUAAUCUGCAUUACCAUUCUUUGCCUUGUCUUGCCUUGCCUUGUUCAUAAAGAUCUGUGGGUACCCACAAGAUUGGUGGCAUGGACUAAUAGGAACAGGGUAGGCAUGGGAAGGUGGUACUAUACAAGCUAAAAAGUCUCUAACAUAGUUAAAACAAGCUGUGCAUCUAGGAACCAAUCUGGUUUGCUGUGCCUAAGAGGGACUCUGGCAAUUACAAAUGGCCCAAAGUCAUCUUUUGUUUUAGAAGCAGGGGAAGAAUGAGUCACAGCAGGGACUGGACUCACAUCUGUCCUCCAAAACCCCAAGGCAGAUCCUGAAUGCUGUGGUGAGGCCUUGGCACAUGUGUUGGAAAGCAUGUUCUGGUACCAGAGACAGGCUCCAAGGCCAAUGAAACAGUGUGAGAAAAAGCUUUAUGCGGAGAGGCAUUAGAAAAUGCACUCCAGAAAGGGCUUCAGAAAUGUGUUUUGGGGACCAAAUGCCAAUAGAUCUCAGGGAUGCCUUACCUCAGUCCUUUAUUUGCUGCCCAAGAACCCACCAUCCUUCAAGGACCUGGAACAGCCACAGCAGGGAGUCAAACACUGAGAUUUUUGAGGUUUUCAUUGAGCACCACAAAAGGGGAGAUGUUGCAGAGCCAAAAAGGAUCCCCACCAACACCCAUCCCAUGCCAGCAGAGCAAACGCAGAGCCAGCACCUGUUCAGAGCCCUGCCAAAACAGGAGCCUGAGUCAUGCCCUGGCUGUCACGAAGACAAGCAGACACUUUCAAAAUUAAUAUAUAUAUUUAUUGAAUAGUUGCUCUAAGUUGGCUUGUGAAGCCACCCAUAGAAUUACUUUUCAUCUCAGCAGUGGUUCAGUUAUCAGUUAUUAGCUUUGCAAGAGAAGAAAACCAAACAGAAGGAGGUGCGUUAAAAUAAAUAGGUUAUUUUUUUUCUUAUCUUUAAAAUAAACUUUUGAAAUAAAUACUUUGUUGUUUUUUUUAGAGUUUUUUUGGGUU